CUCGGUGGCUAUGGCGGAGGGAUCUACCGAUCCCAUCUCGAACUCGGUCGUCAAGCCCUCCAGCGUCGAUGGUACUGCACAGGUGACUGUGUGGGAGAGUAGAACGCCGCCGGGG
rnacentral:rRNA from 1 species